ACAGAGGUGGCAAACGUUGUCCGGAUUUAUUGGGUGUAAAGGGCAUGUAGGUGGUCUUGUAAGUCAAAGGUGAAAUGGCCCGGCUCAACCAGGUCAUUGCCUUUGAAACUGCAGGGCUUGAGUACGGAAGAGGAGAGCGGAAUUCCCAGUGUAGCGGUGAAAUGCGUAGAUAUUGGGAGGAACACCGGUGGCGAAGGCGGCUCUCUGGUCCGAAACUGACACUGAGAUGCGAAAGCCAGGGGAGCAAACGGGA
rnacentral:rRNA from 1 species